GAGAAGAGGACAACUGGCUACAAAUAUCAACAGGCUUUAACAGUCUUCUUUCCUUCAAGUCCAGUUCUUUGAAAGUCCAAAUUUGCUCUGAACUGACUUCAAGCAAGUGCCCACUCUUGAACAAAUUACUGAGGCUGGAGGAUAAAGACACAAAUUGGCCAAACUUGGAUUACCUGCCUUCUGCAUCUUAAAGGAGUCAGUCCCAACUACAAAUUUAAGAGGAUCACAGAAACACCCACAAACUUACGAGGAUCACAGAAAACACCCCUACACCAACUUAUAGCCAAUCUAUUCAACCUGCAUUGUUAGCAGCUGAAAUGUGGAUGUGAUAGAAGAAGAUGAACUAUUUCUGAAUUCAAGAUGGACUCUGAAUUGAGAAGAUAGAUGCCUUGGACCUUAACACUAUUGAGCUAUCAACUAAACUGCAGACCACUUACCUUCAUAUUUAUGAAGUCUUGCUCUGUCGCCCAGGCUGGAGUGCAGUGGCACAAACUCGGCUCACUGCAAGCUCCAUCUCCUGGGUUCACGCCACUCUAGCCAGGAUGAUCUCCUGACCUCGUGAUCCGCCCGCCUCGGCCUUUCAAAGUGCUGGGAUUACAGGUGUGAGCCACUGCGCCCGGCCAUAUGAGCCAUAUUUCUUCUGAGACUCUGCAGGGAACUGCCUGGAGCAUUUCUGAGCAUACCCGAAUGUAUAUAGGAUACAUUUUGAGAAACACGAUCACCAUAGCUUAUGGCUGUGAAACCUCAGUUGUAACAUCAAUAAAAUGGGAAGAACAAAAAAGUUGCUGUGAAGAUAAAAUGAGUAAUGAUGGAAUAGUCUGUGGUCGAGUGCAGAAAUACUAUUACCUGUUCCUGGAGGCAAAGAUUAAAGGAAUAGACACCUUCCUCAGCCAGAAUGACCCAGGCCAGGAGCCACAGUGUCAACUUGGAAAAUUUCUCCUUCCUCAUCUCCACAUCAUGUCUGCAGCCUUAACUGCUUGACACCUGACAACUACUCUUAUCUCCAUUGUGUUGUUUUGUUUUGUGUCAUGAUCUUUUUGAAUGUGCAAUUGUAAUG
rnacentral:lncRNA from 1 species